rnacentral:rRNA from 1 species
CUGAAACAUCUCAGUAGCCGGAGGAAAAGACAUCAACCGAGAUUCCGUUAGUAGUGGCGAGCGAACGCGGACCAGGCCAGUGCCCAUCAUUCAAGUAGCAGAACACUCUGGAAAGUGUGGCCAUAGCGGGUGACAGCCCCGUAUGCGAAACUGAUGUGAUGGGACUCGAGUAGGGCGGGACACGUGUAAUCCUGUCUGAACAUGGGGGGACCACCCUCCAAGCCUAAAUACUCGUACAUGACCGAUAGCGAACUAGUACCGUGAGGGAAAGGUGAAAAGCACCCCGAUGAGGGGAGUGAAACAGUACCUGAAACGGAUUGCCUACAAGCAGUAGGAGCCUCUUUAUGGGGUGACUGCGUACCUCUUGCAUAAUGGGUCUGUGACUUAAUGUUUCAAGCAAGCUUAAGCCGAUAGGUGUAGGCGCAGCGAAAGCGAGUCUGAAUAGGGCGACUUAGUUUGAAGUAUUAGACCCGAAACCCGGCGAUCUAUGCAUGACCAGGAUGAAGGUGCGGUAACACGCACUGGAGGUCCGAACCGAUUAACGUUGAAAAGUUACCGGAUGAGUUGUGCUUAGGGGUGAAAGGCCAAUCAAGCCGGGAAAUAGCUGGUUCUCCGCGAAAACUAUUGAGGUAGUGCCUCGAGCGGACACCAUAGGGGGUAGAGCACUGGAUGGUUGCGGGGGUCGCGAGAUCUACCAAUACUAACCAAACUCCGAAUACCUAUGAGUGAUACUCGGGAGACAGACGGCGGGUGCUAAGGUCCGUCGUCAAAAGGGAAACAGCCCUGACCUACAGCUAAGGUCCCCAAGUCGUGUCUAAGUGGGAAAGCAUGUGGAAAUCCCAAAACAACCAGGAGGUUGGCUUAGAAGCAGCCAUCCUUUAAAGAAAGCGUAACAGCUCACUGGUCUAAACAAGGGUUUCUGCGGCGAAGAUGUAACGGGGCUCAAGACACGCACCGAAGCUUAGGGUGUACACUUUGUGUACGCGGUAGCGGAGCGUUCCGUAAGCCUGCGAAGCGAUCUGGUAAUGGGUCGUGGAGGUAUCGGAAGUGCGAAUGCAGACAUGAGUAGCGAUAAAGAGGGUGAGAUGCCCUCUCGCCGAAAGACCAAGGGUUCCUGCGCAAGGCUAAUCCGCGCAGGGUGAGCCGGCCCCUAAGACGAGCCCGAAGGGGGUAGUCGAUGGGAACCACGUUAAUAUUCGUGGGCCUGGUGGUGUGUGACGGAUUGCGUGUGUUGUCAGCUCUUAACGGAUUGAGCUGGCUUCGAAGCAGUCCCGGGAAAUAGCCCCACCGUAUAGACCGUACCCGAAACCGACACAGGUAGUCAGGUAGAGUAUACCAAGGCGCUUGAGAGAAGUGUCCUGAAGGAACUCGGCAAAUUGCCUCCGUACCUUCGGAAGAAGGAGGCCCUCAUUCCGGGCAACCGGUUUGAGGGGGCACAGGCCAGGGGGUAGCGACUGUUUAGCAAAAACACAGGGCUCUGCUAAGUCGGCUUCAAGACGACGUAUAGGGCCUGACGCCUGCCCGGUGCCUGAAGGUUAAGUGGAGGAGUGCAAGCUCCGAAAUGAAGCCCAGGUAAACGGCGGCCGUAACAAUAACGGUCCUAAGGUAGCGAAAUUCCUUGUCGGGUAAGUUCCGACCUG